rnacentral:rRNA from 1 species
UACGUAGGGUGCAAGCGUUAAUCGGAAUUACUGGGCGUAAAGCGUGCGCAGGCGGUGAUGUAAGACAGUUGUGAAAUCCCCGGGCUCAACCUGGGAACUGCAUCUGUGACUGCAUCGCUGGAGUGCGGAAGAGGGGGAUGGAAUUCCGCGUGUAGCAGUGAAAUGCGUAGAUAUGCGGAGGAACACCGAUGGCGAAGGCAAUCCCCUGGGCCUGCACUGACGCUCAUGCACGAAAGCGUGGGGAGCAAACAGG